rnacentral:rRNA from 1 species
AGGGUUUGAUUAUGGCUCAGGACGAACGCUGGCGGCGCGCCUAACACAUGCAAGUCGAACGAGCGAGAGAGAGCUUGCUUUCUCGAGCGAGUGGCGAACGGGUGAGUAACGCGUGAGGAACCUGCCUCAAAGAGGGGGACAACAGUUGGAAACGACUGCUAAUACCGCAUAAGCCCACGACCCGGCAUCGGGUAGAGGGAAAAGGAGCAAUCCGCUUUGAGAUGGCCUCGCGUCCGAUUAGCUAGUUGGUGAGGUAACGGCCCACCAAGGCGACGAUCGGUAGCCGGACUGAGAGGUUGAACGGCCACAUUGGGACUGAGACACGGCCCAG